AUUGAACGCUGGCGGCAGGCUUAACACAUGCAAGUCGAGCGGAGAUGAGGUGCUUGCACCUUAUCUUAGCGGAGGACGGGUGAGUAAUGCUUAGGAAUCUGCCUAUGAGUGGCGGACAACAUUCCGAGAGGAAUGCUAAUACCGCAUACGUCCUACGGGAGAAAGCAGGGGAUCUUCGGACCUUGCGCUACUAGAUGAGCAUAAGCCGGAUUAGCUAGUUGGUUGGGUAAAGGCCUACCAAGUCGACGAUCUGUAGGGGGUCUGAGCGGAUGAUCCGCCACACUGGGACUGAGACACGGCCCAGACUCCUACGGGAGGCAGCAGUGGGGAAUAUUGGACAAUGGGGGAGACCCUGAUCCAGCCAUGCCGCGUGUGUGAAGAAGGCCUUAUGGUUGUAAAGCACUUUAAGCGAGGAGGAGGCUACUGAGACUAAUACUCUUGGAUAGUGGACGUUACUCGCAGAAUAAGCACCGGCUAACUCUGUGCCAGCCGCCGCCGUAACAC
rnacentral:rRNA from 1 species